rnacentral:rRNA from 1 species
GACAGAGGGUGCAAACGUUGCUCGGAAUUACUGGGCGUAAAGCGCGUGUAGGCGGCCUGGUGUGUCGGAUGUGAAAUCCCCAGGCUCAACCUGGGAACUGCAUUCGAAACUGCCAGCCUUGAGUGGUGGAGAGGGAAGUGGAAUUCCUGGUGUAGAGGUGAAAUUCGUAGAUAUCAGGAGGAACACCGGUGGCGAAGGCGGGUCUCUGGGCCAAAACUGACGCUGAGGAGCGAAAGCGUGGGGAGCGAACAGG